rnacentral:rRNA from 1 species
AGUGAACGCUGGCGGUAGGCCUAACACAUGCAAGUCGAACGGCAGCACAGUAAGAGCUUGCUCUUACGGGUGGCGAGUGGCGGACGGGUGAGGAAUACAUCGGAAUCUACUUUUUCGUGGGGGAUAACGUAGGGAAACUUACGCUAAUACCGCAUACGACCUACGGGUGAAAGCAGGGGAUCUUCGGACCUUGCGCGACAGAAUGAGCCUAUGUCGGAUUAGUUAGUGGGCGGGGUAAAGACCCACCACGGCGACGAUCCGUAGCUGGUCUGAGAGGAUGAGCAGCCACACUAGAACUGCAGCACCGUCCAGACUCCUACGGGAGGCAGCAGUGGGGAAUAUUGGACGAUGGGCGCAAGGCUGCUCCAGCCAUACCGCGUGGGUGAAGAAGGCCUUCGGGUUGUAAAGCCCUUUUGUUGGGGAAGAAAAGCAGCAGGUUAAUCCCCCGCUGUUCUGACGGUACCCAAAGAAUAAGCGCCGGCUAACUUCGUG